rnacentral:hammerhead_ribozyme from 1 species
GCACUGAUGAGGAGUCCCAAAAUAGGACGAAACACUCGUCCAGUAC